AAGGACUUUAGUGGAGAUGAGCUGUCACUCGCUAUUAAAAGUUCAAAGUCAAAUUUGCAGUCCACUUCUGGCAAGGAAGACAGAGCUGCGUGAUUGCACAGGAGCAGGAGACCAUUUCGGAAGCUCUUAGAGUUGUCCAGGCCACCAGACCUGUGAUGGGGUGUUAGCCAUGCAGGCCUCUAACAUUUUGUGGGCCAUUGCAAAGCUCGCAUUCUUCGUGCCUGUGGAGCUUCAUGAUGCAAACAGCCAUGAUCAGGCCUGUCCGGGUGGUCCAGGCUCGCCAAAUUCUAGUGAGUGACACGGUCUCCAUGUCACUGCGUGUGCACACAGGAGUGCUGUCACCUACUGAAGGUUUCCCAACAUGGCCCAUGGUGUAAACCCACGUCUCCCCCACACUCCCUCCUGCUCUGGGAACCCUGAGCCACUAGAUAAAGGAGUUAAGCCCCGAGAGUGCAGACAGGACUUCCUGCACUGCCUGCCUUCCUCUUAUUUGCAGGUUCCUUUCCACUCCACACUCCUCCAUGCCCUGGGCCUUGGGUCUAGAAAAGUCAAGUCAGAGCUUGAGGCAGCAGAAAUUCUGGGCCCUGAAUUUCUCAUGGCUGCCCCAGGGCCAUGGCAUGCCCUCUCCUGAGGAUCCUGAUGCCAGAGUCUGGGGCUGAGGGUGGAGUGUAGGCCAGAAAGAGAACGUCCUAGAAAGGGUUCACGACUACCACAUUCAGGAAUACUGGGGCAAAGAGAUGGGAAUGAAGUUGGGAACAGGAGGGAGAAAGUGGAGGGGAAGGAGCUAGCGGGAAGCAUCUGGGAGGACAGGCCUGCACCAGUGCACAGCCCACAAGGGCAGCCUCGCCCACCUCUGUUCUUGCCAGGGCUGCAGUGUGCAUUCCAGCAACCGCACAGGUCACCCUGCUUCAUCCUUUCUAGCAUUGUUCAUGCCUGUCCUCCUCCCUUCUUUUCCCAUCUCUGUAUGUCCAGCACCCCUUGGAGACACAGGCGUCCUCCCCACAUCUGGAGACUUUUGAAACUAAGACAGCAAACCGGGGAAUUGAAGACAUUAGCUCUGAAGUCACGCUGCUUGGGCUCAAGGGCCAGAUCUGUUCAUAAUCAUUGGUGCACCUGGGCAGAUUUCUUAAUGUGCUUGUGCCUCAGUUUCUCACAUGUAAAACGGGGUGGUAGUAGUUCCUCCUUCACCAGAUUGUGGUAAAGUUUCCUGCUAAAUGCCCAGCAUGUGAUAAGGACUCCACAAAUGCUUCGUUGUUAUUAUUUGAAAGAAUUGUUAAAACAGGAUCCCAAAAUUGUGGCAUAUUUUCAUGUUUACAUUACCAAAUUCUAAUUCAAAACACAAUGGCAUAUAACUGCUAUUCACAGGUAAUUACAAGAGUGUGUUUGUUUGUUUGUUUGUUUUUUAAUUAAUUCAUAGCACCCAAGAGGUAUUAUGGUCCAAUCAUAGGACUUGAGUUUAGAGUUGAAUGAGAAACAUUUGUAUCUAUGACUAUAUAUAAGACCUCUUUGCAAACAAUGUCAAAAUUAUGAAUUUGAGAUCCUUUGUGAAUGUGUGUCCCUAUGCCAAAUACUUUCCCUGUCCUUUGCUAACCCCCAUUCCCUCCCACAUUCAUAUCUUCAGAUGACCA